rnacentral:rRNA from 1 species
GACGAACGCUGGCGGCGUGCUUAACACAUGCAAGUCGAACGGAAAGGCCCUGCUUUUGUGGGGUGCUCGAGUGGCGAACGGGUGAGUAACACGUGAGUAACCUGCCCUUGACUUUGGGAUAACUUCAGGAAACUGGGGCUAAUACCGGAUAGGAGCUCCUGCUGCAUGGUGGGGGUUGGAAAGUUUCGGCGGUUGGGGAUUGACUCGCGGCUUAUCAGCUUGUUGGUGGGGUAGUGGCUUACCAAGGCUUUGACGGGUAGCCGGCCUGAGAGGGUGACCGGCCCCAUUGGGCCUGAGGUACGGCCCAGACUCCAAUGGGAGGCAGCGGUGGGGAAUAUUGCACAAUGGGCGGAAGCCUGAUGCAGCAACGCCGCGUGCGGGAUGACGUCCUUCGGGUUGUAAACCGCUUUCGCCUGUGCCGAAGCGUGAGUGACGGUAAUGGGUAAAGAAGCACCGGCUAACUACGUG